AACGCUGGCGGCGUGCUAACUAGCAUGCAUGUCUGAACGCUUUUUCUUUCACCGGAGCUUGCUCCACCGAAAGAAAAAGAGUGGCGAACGGGUGAGUAACACGUGGGUAACCUGCCCACCAGAAGGGGAUAACACUUGGAAACAGGUGCUAAGUACCGUAUAAUAAUGUAAAACCUGCAUGGUUUUACUUUGAAAGGCGCUUUUGCGUCACUGGUGGAUGGACCCGCGGUGCAUUAGCUAGUUGGUGAGGUAACGGCUCACCAAGGCAACGAUGCAUAGCCGACCUGAGAGGGUGAUCGGCCACAUUGGGACUGAGACGCGGCCCAAACUCCUACGGGAGGCAGCAGUAGGGAAUCUUCGGCAAUGGACGAAAGUCUGACCGAGCAACGCCGCGUGAGUGAAGAAGGUUUUCGGAUCGUAAAACUCUGUUGUUAGAGAAGAACAAGGAUGAGAGUAAAACGUUCAUCCCUUGACGGUAUCUAACCAGGAAGCCACGGCAUAACUACGUGCCAGCAGCCGCGGUAAUACGGAGGGUGCAAGCGUUAAUCGGAAUUACUGGGCGUAAAGCGCACGCAGGCGGUCUGUCAAGUC
rnacentral:rRNA from 1 species